UAGGGAAUCUUCCACAAUGGACGAAAGUCUGAUGGAGCAACACCGCGUGAGUGAAGAAGGGUUUCGGCUCGUAAAACUCUGUUGUUAAAGAAGAACAUAUCUGAGAGUAACUGUUCAGGUAUUGACGGUAUUUAACCAGAAAGCCACGGCUAACUACGUGCUAG
rnacentral:rRNA from 1 species